rnacentral:lncRNA from 1 species
AAGGCCCUCCUCCUUACAAGAAGCCUCAUGACUUGAAGAAGGCAUGGAAGGUUGGGGUUCUUACAGCAGUCAUUAAGCAUAUGUCUCCUGACAUUGCCAAGAUUCGUAAGCUUGUGAGACAGUCCAAGUGCUUGCAGGACAAGAUGACGGCCAAGGAAAGUGCAACUUGGCUUGCAAUUAUCAACCAAGAGGAGGCCUUGGCACGAGAGCUUUACCCCAAUUUGUGCCCCCCUCUCUCAUCAGCUGGGGGGAGUGGGUCUUUGGUCAUUCAUGAUUGCAGUGAGUAUGAUGUUGAAGGGGUUGAAGAUGAGACGAAUUUUGAUGUGCAGGAGUGCAAACCUGAGAACAUUAAUUGUUCCAAUCUUGGAAUGGAGAGGAUGAGGGAAAGGCUGCCCAUUCGACAACCUUAUCCAAUUAAGGGGGAAACUAUUACCAAUGUUGACUUCAUUAGAAAGA